rnacentral:rRNA from 1 species
CCAGACUCCUACGGGAGGCAGCAGUAGGGAAUCUUCGGCAAUGGGGGGAACCCUGACCGAGCAACGCCGCGUGAGUGAAGAAGGUUUUCGGAUCGUAAAGCUCUGUUGUUAAGGAAGAACGAGUGUGAGAAUGGAAAGUUCAUACUGUGACGGUACUUAACCAGAAAGGGACGGCUAACUACGUGCCAGCAGCCGCGGUAAUACGUAGGUCCCGAGCGUUGUCCGGAUUUAUUGGGCGUAAAGCGAGCGCAGGCGGUUAGAUAAGUCUGAAGUUAAAGGCUGUGGCUUAACCAUAGUACGCUUUGGAAACUGUUUAACUUGAGUGCAAGAGGGGAGAGUGGAAUUCCAUGUGUAGCGGUGAAAUGCGUAGAUAUAUGGAGGAACACCGGUGGCGAAAGCGGCUCUCUGGCUUGUAACUGACGCUGAGGCUCGAAAGCGUGGGGAGCAAACAGGAUUAGAUACCCUGGUAGUCCACGCCGUAAACGAUGAGUGCUAGGUGUUAGACCCUUUCCGGGGUUUAGUGCCGCAGCUAACGCAUUAAGCACUCCGCCUGGGGAGUACGACCGCAAGGUUGAAACUCAAAGGAAUUGACGGGGCCCGCACAAG